AUUGUGGAACAGCCGAAUCCCCCAUCUGGGGGAGCGGGGGACCCACAGGUUGGGGUGAAUUGGCGUUCCGGCCAGCCGGAACGCCAUAGGCGACUCCCUUCGCCGAACCCGUCAGCUAACCUCGCAGGCUUACAGGGAGAGACGA
rnacentral:sRNA from 2 species